GGGCGUAUACCGAAGUGGACAAACGGGACAGACUGUAAAUCUGUUGGCUACCGCCUUCCCUGGUUCGAAUCCAGGUGCGCCCA
rnacentral:tRNA from 1 species